rnacentral:snRNA from 1 species
AUACCUUUUUCGGCCUUUUGGCUAAGAUCAAGUGUAGUAUAUGUUCUUAUCAGUUUAAUAUCUGAUACGUGGUUCAUAGAACCACAUGAUAUUAAAUGUAUUUUUCUAGGGGGAGGGUCCACUUACAAUAGCUUGCUAUUGGGGUUCUUGUUCGUCGCUAUUGGGGUUCUUGGUCGUCGCUUGUGCAUUGUACUGCAGCACGAGCCUGGCGCACCCCAA